AAAUGACAAACGAAGAAAGCGUCCUCGAAUGUUAUUUUUUCCGGUUGUGCGCGCUCUUCCUCCUCCUCCUCCUCCUCCUCCGUGCUCAUGCGCAGCAGGCCGAGCUGUAAAUCCCCCUCGUCUCUGUUUAUGCAGGGCCUGACCGCGUCCACCGACACUCGCUGAUAUUUUUCUGCUCAAAAACCCCGGGCCGAGGGAAUGUGCUGAUUGUCAGGCUUUUUCGGAGCCGUUCUCACAUUGCAACCCCAUCUGAACUCCUCCUGCUGUUUGGAUGCCCUCGUCUCCAAGGUGUCCAGAUGAACGUAAUCCCGCUCCCUCAGAUGUGUGGCGUCGGAGGUGUUACCGCUGAAAGCUGAGGAACGGGCCGUCAUGCAAACGUGGCACCCUCCUCUCCUCCCCUUUACUGGCAGCGGCAGACCGCCGGGGCCCCGGGGCCACCGGCUCGGGGAGAUUACGCUGACUCCUGCUGGUCAGAGAAGGCCGGCCGCUGCCCGCUCCAGAUGUCCACCUCCACAGCAGUCUGAGGCUGGACUCAAGGAGAAAGAAAGCUAAAAACAGCAGAGAAAUCUGAUCCUAGGUCUAGAAGACGUGGAAAGCAGGGGAAAGAUGAGAGAAACAAAAGAGAUGGAUGAGAAAUGAAUCAUACAAUUAGCUUUCUGUCAGUCAAAAUGGGGAUUUUUUUUUAUUAUUUAAAGUAUUUAUUUACUGUGUUUUGGGGUUUAAUUCUUAGAUAAUAAUAAGAUUAUUCUUGACUUAUUUUCGACAUUUAUUUAAUGAUUUUACAGGGUUUGUAUAUAUUUCAUUUUUUUAUAUUUUCAGAAGUUGGGGUAAUGUCUGUAAAAUUUAAAUUUGUUAAUAAAUUACGAAAUUGAUUUAUCGGCAUUAAACCUAUCCACAUAUACAUCUAGUGAGUAUAUAGCUUACUAUAUAUAACUUAAAUACUGUAAAGUGUGUGUGUGUGUGUGUGUGUGUGUGUGUGUGUGUGUGUGUGUGUGUGUGUGUGUGUGUGUUAAAAACACUGCACUCUUUCUUUAAGAAUCCAAUCCAGGCCAAGACAGUAAACAAGUGGCAUGAGUUUGGGGAGGAACUUCCUUUUUUCUGACCAAUGGUUGACAAGGGGUGUGUUCAGAAAAACAUGUCUGAAAACAAUCAUUUAUAACGAAAUUGCAAGCAUUUUUUUUUACAUUUCCUGGCUAAUGCUAAGAUAAAUUUGAAUUUAAUAUAUAUUAUACUUAAUAUUUAUAAUAAAUAUAUUAAUAAAAAUAUUUGUAUUAUUAUACACUGUACAAAAAAGUCGUUUCAACCUGAAAUGACUUGUUCCUCGCUGCCUAAAAUUUUUAGUUUAGUCGACUAAAAUAUAUUAGUUGUCACUUAAAUUAACUUUAAGCACCAAAACAUUUUAAGUUGACUCAACAAAAAAAUAGGAAUUGGGGGUAACAAGUUAUUUCAAGUUGAAACUACUUUUUAAGGCGUAUUUUCAUAUUAUUGACAGUCAGGAAAGUUACAAACACGUUUUUGAAAUAAAAUAACAUUUUGUG